rnacentral:rRNA from 1 species
UGCAGCGACGCCGCGUGGAUGAAGAAGGCCCUCGGGUUGUAAAAUCCUUUACAGGGGGAAGAGGAAGGACGGUACCCCUGGAACAAGUGUCGGCUAACUACGUGCCAGCAGCCGCGGUAAGACGUAGGACACAAGCGUUAUCCGGAUUUACUGGGCGUAAAGCGUCUGCAGGCGGACAGGUAAGUUGGGCGUGAAAGCUCCGGGCCCAACCCGGAGAGGUCGUUCAAUACUGCGUGUCUAGAGGGUGUCAGAGGGGAGUGGAAUUUCCGGAGUAGCGGUAAAAUGCGCAGAGAUCGGAAAGAACACCAAUGGCGAAGGCAGCUCCCUGGGGCAACCCUGACGCUAAGAGACGAAAGCUAGGGGAGCGAACAGGAUUAGAGACCCUGGUAGUCCUAGCCCUAAACGAUGGAUGCUGGAUGUGGGGCCAUAGCGCUCCGUGUCGAAGCGAACGCGUUAAGCAUCCCGCCUGGGGACUACGGCCCGCAAGGUUAAAACUCAAACGAAUUGACGGGACCCCGCACAAGCAGCGGAGCGUGUGGUUUAAUUCGAUGCUACACGAAGAACCUUACCUGGGUUUGACAUCUAGGUGGUAGUGAAGCGAAAGCGGAGCGACCCUUCGGGGAGCCUAGACAGGUGYUGCAUGGCUGUCGUCAGCUCGUGCCGUGAGGUGUCGGGUUAAGUCCCGUAACGAGCGCAACCCUUGCCCUCCGUUAUACGUGUCAGAGGGGACUGCCGGCGGUAAGCCGGAGGAAGGUGGGGAUGACGUCAAGUCAGCAUGGCCUUUAUAUCCAGGGCUACACACACGYUACAAUGGCCAGUACAAAGGGCAGUGAAGCCGCGAGGUGAAGCUGAAUCCC